rnacentral:lncRNA from 1 species
CUGUAACGGAACAGCUGUACAGCUGUACAAGGUUCCGAUGGAGAGAGGACUCCCUCACUCACACUGAGGCCGAUGUCAAACACAUGUUCAGCCAACAUGAGAAAGAGACUGUUACACAAAUGGAGUUAAGUGGACACCACCACCGCUCCAAACAGUUCCCGGGAGUUUUGCUUAGAGCCGCUGCUGCCGCCAGAAUGUUUAACAUUGUUAUGUCCAGUGUCAAUGCAGCGAACCAGACCGUAAACUCCUUGAAACCACUGUUUACUGUCUUCCAGAAGAACUUUACCCAGACUCAGCUGUUUACAGCGUUAACAACAGACAUGCUGUGGGAGGUUAGCUCCUCCAAUGACAGCCUAACCACGAGUAAAACCCCACCAUACAUGACACCUUUAAGCCUUGUGUCAACUGUGCUGUCUUACGCCAGCGCCAUGCCAGCUGACCUGAGUCAAGCCAAGUCUACAGACCUAAAGACAUUGUCAGUGUCAGGUUUUGGAAAAGCAACCCCCACACCAAGACACACAUUCCAAAUGUGGUGGCCUACCACGACAGCGACACACAGCUGUACCUGGCCUCAAACAUGUCCAUGUGUACUUUGUCCAAAGACAUUCAUUAUCUCUGCCUUAGCAAACCCUUCCUCAGACACAACUCUGAAGGAAUCUGCGAGCUGCAACCCUGGGUCAGCGAUACGCGCUGCCCUGCCGAAGCCAAGCCUCUUACACAAGUCACAGAAACGCAAGCAGAGAUUGUGGGUAACAAAUGGCUCGUCAACACUCCUGUGUGCUCAACUACACUGAGCUACAACCAGCAUGACACCGCCACCCGCGCCAACCUGCUUGACCAAGUACUGAAGGAUACCACCCAACACAUUGACAUCACUCCCGUCGACACAGCCCUCCAGGCACUGUCUCGACAGCCCGUUCUGAACCCGUCACCUGCGGUCCGAGCCUGGACUGCUGCCGACACUGCACGGUGCAUCUCCACCGUCAUUGGUCCCGCCCUUACUCUUGGCGUGACCUUCAUCCUAUACAGGAUACUCAACGAGAUGCAAACCUCUACAGCCAAACUCACGACAACUGUGGCUGGAGGUCUCCGAUGGAAUCCCCGGAAAAGGGGGUGCCAAGUCAAAGACAACACCGAACCUCAUCAAGCUGAGUCCUCAGCUUCAGGAACCACCUGCCAUCAUGACCCACCUGCUACAUGACCAUCACGAUUCACCUGUCAUCUGCCCAUCCUGAUGAUUGCCGUCCGAUGAUGUCCACACAGGGACUUCAUCUGACGAAAGGGGGAGAUGUAACAGAUAUGCAGGUCACCGAUUCAUGGGUUAAAUUCUGUUUUACAAAUAAACCCUGUUGGUACUAGAUGCCUGGCCUGGCGCCAGCCUGGCUGGACUUAAAUUAUUUUACGACAAGAAAUUCCAGAGUCACGUGGGCGAGCCUCAAAGAAGAAAUGAAAACCCCCAACCCAAAUUCCUCCAACACACUGGAGACAAAGGAAACCUUUCGUAUAAGUUCCUUACUUUCAUUUUAUUAUUAAUAUGUAUUUUAAAUAUGUUUAUGGAUUGCAUAAAAUGGUUAAUCCUUGUUAUGUGAAGAGUAUAAGUUGCUAAGCUAUACUUUAGGAAAUGUUGAAUUCAUUCUCAAAUAGUCAUGUGUAUGUAACCCCCACUUUAACAGGUCGUAAAAUAAUUUACGACCACCCUGGACAAACAGGAGAGGAGAGAAGCCAAAUCACUGGUUUCUUUUCCCCAAUGCAUUCUAUGGAAUGUAUUCAUUACCUUUUUGUUUUUAUGUUUUAUAAAUGUAUAACGUAUUCCCUUUUGGUACAUUUAGAUGUUUCCCAUAUAAAUUGGGACUAUUUGCAGUGUUAUCAUGUGUUAAUCAAAUCUUUAAAUAUGUGUAAUUCUGCAUUUGAAUGUAACUUCAUGUUUUGAUCAUUUAUACAUAUGUUUAGUAUCGUUGUGAUCGUCAUGUUCUGACAAACCCAUUUAUCUAGAGCAGAGUAAUGAAAAAUGUAUGUAAUCUGAAUUACAAACUUGCUAGAAUAAUCCCUUUACGAAAUCUGACAAGUCCUAAAUCAUCCAGGGGGUUGGUUCCCGAGACAAAGGAACUUUCCCUCCACUUUAGAUCGCGGAUGUUCAUUGGCUGUUUACGCAAAAAGGGGCGGGAACCAUCUCAAUCUAUAAGGGUCGACCGAACAAGGCCCGCCUAGUUUUAGUUUUAGUUUUAGUUCUUACUUCUUCUUCUGAUCUGCUUCGUUCUCGGACACGUCGCUCCGCGCGGCCUCGGGCCGCGCUUGGUUCUCCUCCCCCCUCAGCACACGGACUGAGGAGAGGAAAGCCAUUUUCAUGGCUCGUUUGGAAACUUUCAUUUUCGUUGUUUUGUUUUCUUUUCUUUAAGUUUAUUCAACUAUUCGCCUCUCCACACAAGGAAGACGAAUUCUGGAACAUUGUUUGUUGAACCUUUCAAAUACCGCGCGAAGAUGAACGAACAUCUCUUUGCAACAAAGGACCACGCCAAGAUCCAGCGCAGCUUGCACGCGCGUCACACGGCCUCCGGCCCAUGCGCGCAGUUUUCAAAGGACCGUGCGUCGCCGGUACCACGCUCACCCACUGGGCCAUGCAAGUAUCGUUUUCUAUGGAGAUUUAAAUGCUGCUUUAAAGUGUUGCUAUGAUCUGAUCGUUGUUGGCUGCCAAAAAGGUUACUGACUGAUUUUCAUACCUGAGCUCAUUCUGUGAUCUCUCUCGCUUUCUCCAUUUCUCUCUCUCUCUCUCUCUCUCUCUCUCUUUUAUUUGGAUUCCGUUAUGUAUUGUAAGUUUAUUGUCUGUAUUUUCGUACGCAUAUUUACUCUGUGUGAUUUGUAGUUUGAUGUAUUAUUAGUUGAAUUAUUAAAAACCCAUAUAUAAAUGAUUGGCUUGGACUCCACCCCACUCACAUUACGAGUCACUGAAAUGUUUUGGUCUUUAGCUACAAGCUUUAAAUUUAGAAACUAAAUUUAUCAUAAUGAUAGGAUAAUGUUUUCGUGGCCAGAGAAUAUUUUUUUCCUUGAAUUAUAAAAAGUGAUAUCUUUAUUGAAAAUUGAUAGGUCAAUCUGGCUUGCUGGACAAUCCACUGUUUGAUCUGCAGUAAUUUACAGUAAGAGAUAUCACAACAAUUGAUAUGAAGAAUGGAAUAUUGACAUAUUAAUGAGUAAAUUACAGUGCCCUGUGAUUAGUAUUGGUAUAGGCAAUUGAGCUAUUUUUCAUGAUCAAUAAAAUUUUAUGUAACUGCCAUCUGAGAUAUAUAUUAAUCAAAUUCCUGAUUAAUUAUUCAAAUUCCCUAUAUAUCAUUUGAGUUAAUUACUACGUAAAACUCAUUGUUGUUACAUCAACAUCAGGCUUGACAACUUUGUGAACACUUAAACUCUAAAAAAAGCUGGGUUGUUUUUUUCAGCCCAAAUGCUGGGUUGAGACCGCUGCAUAGGACUUUUGGUUGUUUUAACCCAAGUUUGGGUUGAAAAUUGGUCUCGAGUUUAACCCUACGGGGCUGGGUUGAGAAUGCGGACGUGAAGGUGAGCACACACGUCACGUUAAGAUCGUACGUCUCCAGUGCGAGCAGCCGCCAUUUUCUCAGCGUGAAAGAAGCAUAGACAGUUAGGGUUGCCACCCGUCCCUUAAAAUACGGAAUUGUCCCGUAUUUGAGAAUAAAAUAGCGCUUCCCAUUUUGAAUCAAUACGGGACGGGGUUUGUCCUGUAUUUUCUGAGUUGUCUUCAAUGCAGCAUCUCAUACAAAUCAUCCCACCAGCAUUCUGUGAAGACUCGUCCUAUUCUGCCCCUGAUUGGUUAAGACUCACUGCCAUCGUUGGAUUGAUUGGUUUGUUUCAGUUUCACGGCCAAUCAGAGUCAAAGGAGGGCGGGUCAAUUUGUCGGCGAGUGUUCUCUGUUGCACACAGUGGCUUGUCAGAUGUGCGACCGCAUGCCUCGGGAGAACUCAAUCAUCUCCUGAGGCAGAUAGUGUAAUGACAGUUUUUUUUAUCACCUCAAUCAUUUUCUGAUUGAUUACAUUAGAUUUCAUAGGUUGCCUAUUUGUUAAGAAAUAAUGUUAAAAAUGUUAAAGAAUCAUGUUAUGGAAUGAUUUGUUGGUAACACUUUACAAUGAAGUUAAUUUAUUAAACAUUAAUGUAUCAACUAACAUGAACUAAGUGAGUAAUAAGUAAUACAUUUGUUCCAGAAUUACUUAUGUUAAUGUUAGUUAAUAGAAAUAAAGCUGUUCAUUGUUUGUUCAUGUUAGUUCACAUUGCAUUAACUAAUAUUAACAAGAUUUUAAUAAAGUAUAAUUAAAUGUGGAAAUUAACAUGAACAAACAUGAACAAUUGCUGUAUAAGUGCAGUUCAUUAUUAGUUAAUGUUAAUUAAUGUAG